UUCGUUUUUGAACCUGCACGGAAAAACGAAAGUACCCAAAAGUGAGUUCAUUCCACCCAACUUCGAGGUUGCGUGCGGGAAGCCAAUUUUGAGUUGCUGGAGUCGAUGUUUAGGUAGGUAGUUUGCAUUUAGGCAGACCCCCUCAACUUCAAUGAUAAACUGGAAGCACAAUUGCAGCGCCAUCAGUAAGCUUGCGGAAGAAUAUAGAAUCAAAAUAGUGGGAUAAGGGUAAGUAUGCCUUGCGUUUGGCUGUUGCUAACCGAGAGUUGCUAAUAAACGGCAUUGUUUUUUUUUUGUUGUCAACCGUUUGUGCUCUCUGUGGUGGAAAAAGGCAUUAUGCUAGACUUUCCGCCAGGCCAUGAUGACAAUAAACCCAGCAACGACUUUGAAAUAAGACGGAGAGAUGUGCUUCCAAAUGCUUCUUAGGUACUAAGCCUGGAUCGACCUGGAAUUGCCAGGCUGGAAACAGUGCGGCGGACAAUCUGUAGCUUCCCAGUAAACAAUGUGGAAGCAAUCCCACUAGAGAGACACCAGAGUGCAUUGUGCUCUUUUUAUCACCACACGUAGUUUACUACAGGAAGUCCAGAAAGUACAACUAAUGUAGGCACUAAGUGCUCAGGAGUACAAAUUUAUGAAUAAUGAACGUUUCUGAAUAUAAUAAUGAAUUAAAGCCAAAAGAAAAUAUAUUUUCACAAACUUUUUGUGUAUAGUCUGUAUAGUUUAUUAUGUUUAACAUAUGAAAAAAUAAAAAUAAUUUAAUAUCAUGGGCCUACGCAUAAGUAUUCCAGUAGUUCCAUUGAGCAUCUCCGUCAUAGUCCGACCAAAAUGUUUAAUACUGGACGUAUUUCGAGGCGGAGACGGAUAGUUUUUCGAAAACCUUAAUCAAUAAAAACCAGGUAAUAGUAUUCCCAUUAUGUGUUGAUUGAUUUGUCUUUAAUUUAAAGACUUUCAGCCAUGGCUGGUUCGACUCUUCCCUAUUAUUUGUCACGCAACAAAUCGUAAAUGAUUUCACCUUAUAAUUGGUUUAGUUUUGUAGCGAAAUAUUCCAAAGAGGGAUGCCUUGUAACCCUUGAAACCAUUUGAAGUCCAUUCAUCAGCUUCGCUCUUUGAAAUUCGUCAACAGCCGUAUGAGGUUCAUCUCGAUCAUCGGCUGGUCCAAUAUUUUACAGGCUUUUAUCCGGCUUUUAACGAAAAACCUACCUUUUAAACCUAAUCAUCACAACACGGCAGGAGCUAUAUUCCUCAUCAAACAAUUCAAAACAAUUCAACUGUCACUCGCUUUUUUCCAAGAAAAAUCUCAGUAUGCUAUGUGAUUUUUUUCUUUAUAGUUCUAUAUUUUCCCAUGCAUGGCAGCACAGUCACAAAAAAGACAUGUUUCCUAUGAUUCGUAUGGAAAACCCACUCACAAGGCCAUCUUGUUAAUCGGAUAUCUUUGAUUUAGGCGUAUACGGCCAAAGUACCUAAAGUCAAGGUUCUUUUUACUCAACCGUCAGUUAAAAUUACUCAACUUUCAGUACUGUGCCACUUACUCAAUUUUGGCUUCCCGCAUCGAACUCUCAAAGUUGGGUUGUUUUGCUAUUCACUCUCUGACAACAAUAAAGAGAGCGAAUGAAACAGGAUGCAAAAAAGAACUCAAAAGUGAGUUUAAAAAUACUCAAAUUUGGGUUUUCUUGUUUUUCAGUGUGGGUUGGAACUGGAUUGGCAGAAAAUGUGUAAACCAACAAACGUCAAACAAACUCAAACAAACUUUAGUACAAGCGAAUCCGAAGUCGGGUUGGGGUUGAAACUCAUCCAGUUCCAACCCAGGUUGGAACUGAAUCAAAAACGAAAACGACAUUAGAGAAAAGAGAACAAAGGAGUUUUUUAACAGUUGACCUGGUAAAAGACCUGAACAACCAGAAUCAAACUUUGUGAGGUUAUGUUCGGGUGGUUUUAUGAAUAAAAAAUGAUGCGGAUUCGAAGUUUGAAAACAGAGUUAGAGCAUGUUUGUGGGGGCCCAUAAUACACUGCCUCUCGAAGAAGAUGAUAAAAUCAAGCCGGAAAAGAACCUGGAUCGAAAGUAGGUGGUGGAUUGGAAGAUGUCAACAACAUCCAACGAAGAAUGCCGCGAGCAAUCAAAACCAAGAGGAACCAGACAAAUAGAGAGGGAUCAUAGAUAGCGGUUAGGAGGAGGAGGGAACAAUGUAUAUCAUCGUACAUAUCACCACUUUGUAUACAAAGCCAGUCCUAUAGAAGAAGGAAGUCAUAUGUUUGAUGCUUCGUUUACAGAGAUGGCCAAACUUCGGAAGGUUAGGGGAGGAUUAGCGGAUGACAAUGAGGGGUUUGAUAAAUGAUUGCUGCGUGGAUGAUUAUAUUCUUCGUUGGAUGAUGUUCGGUGAGAAGAUGAUUGUGCCGAACUCAGAGCUCGAUAGUUCUACUAAGUUUUAUAAAAUUAGUCUCAAAACUAGACUAAUUGUAUCUUCUCAAGGAAGUUGGAAAACAGGAAACAAGUUAGUAAUAACACAGUGAUUGUAAAGCACAUAUUUGCUUUCCAGUUGUGCACCUCAACUGUGUCGAAAAUGUCCGAUUUCACAGGACAAUCCCAUGCUUGCAAAAAAUGACGCAUUUUUUAAUUACUUCAAUUCUUCAUAGAGCAGCAUACAAUAUAAGAAAUGCCACUCUAGAAGUUGUCUUCUUCUUUAUGGCUCGACGUUCGCAUUAGAACUUGGCCUGUCACUUUUCAACUUAGUGUUCUUAGUGAUACUCUAUGCCCAGGGAGUCGAGAAAAUUUUCCCGACUGGAACGAGAAUCGAACCCGCCGUCUCCGGAUUGGCGAUCCAUAGCCUUAACCACUAGGCUAUCUGGAGAUCCCAGAAGAUGUCUUAUAUAAUUCUCUAAUUAGCAUUGUUAAUAAUUUCUCAAAUGAUGCCAACAGAAUCCCUAAAAUAUCAUCAAAAGCUACGCUCAAAUCUUUACAAAACAUCUUCGGAGCAAAAAUAAUGCAUUUUUCAAUCCACCACCUACGUUUCGCCAGCAAAAAUACAAAUUUCACGCGAUACAUAACGACCACUAGUCGAAUCUAUUAGGGAAAUUGAUACAAAACUAAUCGCAACGCAAUCCAUUCUGCAGCAAGUAGAUAGCUAAAAAACGUCAGGAUUUUCAACAUCCUUACAAACUCAAUUGAAUCAAAACUUAACAAAAUGUUCACAAAACAUCAACUUUUGAAGCAGUGUAAAACUUUGUCUAGAAACCUUUAAGCAGUAAAAAAUAGGUAUGGAAAAUUACUCAAAGGAAGCCGUAUUCCUCCAAAACGGAACACCAAAUCUACGCGAAUUGAGGCGAAGGUGAUUGCUAUUACCCAUAUUAUUACAACACAAAAAAUAUUACUAAUUCUACUACUAGCUAUUUUUCUACCACACUUACUACUACUACCUCUAUCGUGAGAAAGGAAAAAAAACCUGGUCCAAGUAAUCUUUCAAAUCGCAACAUUAACCUUUGUCCCCAAAACUAAAUUCUUCAACAAAACCAAGAUCAGUGAAGUCGUUGUUUAUACCUAAUAGGAAUAAUUGUUUCUGUUUUACUUUGAUGCAUUUAGCUAAAACAGCGCGUGUUUCGCUUCAGUUGUUUUUGUUUCGAUCGAAGCAAGCGAAUCGGUUCCCAUUAGUAGUAAUACGGAGAUAUCUAAACACACACACACACGCUAACUCACAGAGAGCGAACACGUUAAAAAAAAAUGGCGACCGUGUCGUUCACGGCCGACAGAAUGCAUCUGUGUGCGUAUGUAAACGCGUGUGAGAGCGUGAUGACUUUUUGACAAAUAACCGCAAAAUCUGGGGGUUUUUCCCCCUUUACACGUCAGGUUUUUGUAAGUACACAUUGCGUGGUGGUAGUGACAGCCGCAACCAUUGAACAGUGAAGAUUGUGAACACAUACAGUGAAAUCGAAGGAAUUAAGUAUAUUUUUUAUAUACACAUACGGAAAUGAAGAUCGAAGUGCUGCAAGUAUAUCGUAGUAGAGGAAUGUUAGUGAGACGGUUCCCGAAAAUUUUGCCGAUGGUCGGUAUCUCAAAAAGUAUUUCCCCGAUUUUGUCAUUUUUAUGAAUUUUAAGGGCUCAAAACGAAAUACUGUACGAAUAAGAUCUGGUAGUAAGACUUCAGUAGAUAUUUGUUUCUUCAAAAUGAAAUAUAGCUGCGUUUAUAUUGAAAUACAAACAUUAUUUGUAACAAUAGGGAAGUGGAACCAUCACGACAGGGCUCCUAUUUUGGGCACUUUUUUGCUAUAACUCAGACAAUUUUGAACCAAUUGAUACAAUUUUUGGAACGCGGUGAGAUACAUAGAGUAUCUAGCCGUGAACAAAAUUUCAAGUCAGUUGGUUUGGAAUUGACUAAGUUAUAGCGAAAAGUGUCCAAAAUACCGGCUACUGCCCAAGUGGCUCGCUACCCUACCAUCUCUACUGAUAGUCGUUUGUUUGAUUUCUGACAGAAAACAUGCUUGUUAGUUAGCACCCUUGAAGAUGGCUCUUAUAAAACAUAAUGUUCUGGCAUUUUGUCACUAUUGAACUCAAAAGUUUCAUUCAAUAUUCAGAAAAAUUACAUUUUCGAGAGAAUAGCUUUUUGAAGAAAACGUAUCUUCCGAAACAUAAGAAUUCGGAAGGAGAGCGUUCGGGCAGACGUAAUAGAACCUAGCAAAAUCAAGUACGUCAACUAAUAACAAUACAUUGACAUAAGCUAAAUUAUACAAAUCAAAUCACAUAUUGUGUAUUUUAAUAACUGCAAACAAAAUGUAUGUAAAAUUUGUACCAUACUAGAUCAAGGAUGAAAAAAAAAACAAAGCAAAAUAAAACAAAGCAAGCGAUUUGAUAUACAGACCUUGCACACUCACACAUACACACACAACAUACCCAUCCGGAACUCACGCACUCAUCGCUUCGUUCGAGGGAGCGUGUACAAUAUCGGUGUGAGUCUGCUACCACGUGUCGUACAGCCGUAGGAACCCAAUUUGUAAGUGUAGUAGUUAUAUGGAACUGUGUGCCGAGAGUGGCCGCAAUGGAAGUGUGAGAGUGCGAGCGUGAAUUUAUAUACAUAUGUGCAUGUGUACUGCGGCAAGCAGCAAAAGUAAAUUGAUAAGCAGCAAAAACAAAACAAAAUCAUGAUAGUAAUAGAUCAUAAUAAAGUCAUGGGACAAAUUUUCGUAAAAAAGAGAAAAAAAAAAGAUUAUUAAUCAAAAGAAUGUGUUUUUCAUUUGCGACGCAUUACCAAUCGGAGAAUGCACAGAAUUGAUCGGAUGAGUGAACGAACGAACAUUUGAGUGAUCGUGAGCGAGCGAAUAACAAAAGCAAUCACAAUCGAUCGGAACGCAUGAACGUACGUUCGAAUGGCUUCUUUUCCUUAGUUGUUUUUAGCGUUAGAAUUUUCUUUUCAAGCUGUCAGCUUCUAUUUAGGUUGUUUUAAAUUUUGAACCCCUUUUCAGUUUCUCAAAGAUUUGAAGUAUUUAAAAGUGAAAUGAUAUUUGCACAAAGUGUAUUUUCAGCUUAUAGAAUAUUGGAGAGCAUGGCAACAAUUGGAAAUCUGCUACCAAAAAAACAGAAGUGUUCAAAAGAACCACCAAUCGGAAAGCGAAUUGCAGUACUUUUGUGAAACUAGUUUUAACUAUAAAUAUUCUUAUUUUAUUUAAAACACCACAAAACCUUAAGAUCGUACCGUUUAAAACAGAUAACCUUAUAGAUUUAUCUUCCCCAAAACACAACACCCCCUUACUCCCAUAAUUAGAAUACGCUAGGAAUCUAAUCAUAAGUAGUCAAAAGAUGAUUCAAAAUUAUGUAAUCAAACCGCAAUUGGUUUGGUCAUUGUUCGGUGCGCGAAGCUUUGGUUGGAUCCCACACACACAACAGAUGCUUUGCGCACUGCUCUCAAAGUGAGAAAAUUGGUUUGGAAAAGAUACCAAGAGCGGAAAGAAAUCUGUAAGAAAAAAGAGAAGAGAAACUUAUCGGUUUGAGCAAACACACACAAUACACAACACACACACAGAUAUGGCCCCUUUCAUAUUGUUUAGAACGAGAGAAAAGAUGCAAAGAAUCAAAUAUUAUUUUUUUAUUUUGUUUAUUUAAGCAUUUAUGUAUUUAAGCACAACUGGAAACUUGAAGAAAAAUGCGUUAUAAUAUAUUUCAUUUGAUCAGUA